UACAGAGGGUGCAAACGUUGUUCGGAAUUACUGGGCAUAAAGCGCACGUAGGCGGCGCGUUAAGUGCGGUGUGAAAUCCCACGGCUUACCCGUGGAAUUGCGCUGCAGACUGACGUGCUCGAGGACGGUAGGGGAGAGCGGAACUCCUGGUGGAGCGGUGAAAUGCGUAGAUAUCAGGAGGAACACCGGUGGCGAAGGCGGCUCUCUGGUCCGUUACUGACGCUGAGGUGCGAAAGCUAGGGGAUCAAACGGG
rnacentral:rRNA from 1 species